AGAUCAGCAUGAGACCCCAUUCAAUGGCUGACAUUGCGAAAAAAGAUCAGUUAUUUUUUUAUAUGAAAAAUACAACCUAAAUCAUUCAUUAAAAUUAUGAAAAAUCCAUGUCAUUAAGAUAUAAUAAAAAUCUACAUCAUUAAGAUAAUAAAAUCAUAUCCAAAAACAAAUAAAGAAUAACAAAUUAGAAAACCAUGAUAAGAAAGCAAGGAAG
rnacentral:lncRNA from 1 species